rnacentral:lncRNA from 1 species
UUGUUUCAGCUUUCCUUUUACAGCACGAUAACUUCCUUUGAAGAGGCAGACUCGAAACAACUCAAGAAUAUGCAAGGGAGAGUCCAAAAUGGACUCUGAUGGAUUAUAUGCACAGAAAGAAAAGAAAAGAAAUUAGCAUCUAUGAACGGGCUGACAAACUCAACUGAAUGUAAUCGCGUAUGAAGGGAACAUGACUAAAUUUUACACUACAUCAAUGUUUCGAAUCAAUGGCUUUAACAUGCUUAGUUGGAAACAAUCAAGGCAAGUUGAAAUUUGGACACAUGAUUGCUUGGUUAAGACUUCUAUGUAUAAAGCUCAAUUAAAGAUAAAGACGCAAGACAAAUAAACAAGAAACCUUUACAGUACUAAGGUUUAUCAAUGAGGUCAUCUAAUCAUAUUUCAAAUCUGCCAAAAGAAGGGUUAAACUAAUAGUUUCAAGCCUGCUAAACCCUCACAAGAAUCCAAGUCAUGCUUAGACUAACUAAAUCAUGCUAACACUUACCGCUAGAUUUUAACACAUUGAAUUGAAAUAGGCAUCUUUCAGUAGCAACAAAUGUAAACGGAGCAGUCAAGAAAUAACCAAACCUCAAGAAGUAGGCAGUGAUUAACAAACGCUCAAUUGCUAACAUAGAACAAAAUAAUACCAACAAACAAACUCAACCUCCAACACACGAGAACUCCAAAAUAGUGAAAAGAAAAUGUCAUUAUGGAAUAAAAUAACACUUGAUCAUCAUAUAACUGCAGUAAUAAUGUAAACUAGGUUGAUGGUGAUAUAGUCAUGAUCCUAUUGUGGCAGGUUUGGGAAACACAUAUGAGAAAUCAUAGCAAAUUUUAUAGCAAUGGCAUCCUUUAAUUUACCAUUAUUUCACUUAAGCUACAAGAUCGAAUAUUGGAGCAUGGAAACCUACUGACAUAUUUAAUCUAGAUUUUAACUAAAAAUUCAUAGCCAAGAAAAGAGGAGUUAGAUAAGUAAAUGACGGAUAACAGUACAACUUAGGAUGUCUAAUAAACAAGACAUGCUUGCAAGAUAUGUUAAAAAAAAUGAGCAGAGAUCAACAUAGCUAACAAUAUAUUCAUGGCAUGACUGAGCUAAUAUGAUUAGGCUUAAAUUUGGCCUUUUGAACCUAACAUUUACACUAAUAAUUGGGAACAAAAUGCAACAGCAAAGAAACCAUACUAUUAAUGAAUUCAGAAACCAAAUAUCACUAUCUAUCUAUUAAUAAUAAUCAAUAUAUUCCAGCCUAUGACUAAGCAUUUCACCUUGAUCGAAAUAGAUAGCUGAUCACAGAUUUAUGAAUCAAUCAUUUAAUGAAUUAAAUCAGUAGGGUAUUGAACAAGGAAAAACACAUUAAUGGAAAAGAAAUCUAAGACUAAAUUUGACUAGAAAGACACAAUAUCUAAGAAACAAAUUAAGAUUAGAAAGAAAUUUUACCUUUUGGAGGACAGCGAACUGAGACAAACGGGUUGAAGAGCUUCCUACUACUAUUGACCAACAAACAGGUAAAAAAACUUGAAAGAAAAAUCGAAAAUCUUAGGCUCAAAUCUUCGUGGGUUUGAUUUCGAAGAAUA